rnacentral:rRNA from 1 species
GACGAACGCUGGCGGCGUGCCUAAUACAUGCAAGUUGAGCGCUGAAGGUUGGUACUUGUACCAACUGGAUGAGCAGCGAACGGGUGAGUAACGCGUGGGGAAUCUGCCUUUGAGCGGGGGACAACAUUUGGAAACGAAUGCUAAUACCGCAUAAAAACUUUAAACACAAGUUUUAAGUUUGAAAGAUGCAAUUGCAUCACUCAAAGAUGAUCCCGCGUUGUAUUAGCUAGUUGGUGAGGUAAAGGCUCACCAAGGCGAUGAUACAUAGCCGACCUGAGAGGGUGAUCGGCCACAUUGGGACUGAGACACGGCCCAAACCCCUACGGGAGGCAGCAGGAGGGAAUCUUCGGCAAUGGACGAAAGUCUGACCGAGCAACGCCGCGGGAGUGAAGAAGGUUUUCGGAUCGUAAAACUCUGUUGGUAGAGAAGAACGUUGGUGAGAGUGGAAAGCUCAUCAAGUGACGGUAACUACCCAGAAAGGGACGGCUAACUACGUG